rnacentral:rRNA from 1 species
GAUGAACGCUGGCGGCGUGCCUAAUACAUGUAAGUCGAGCGAACAGACGAGGAGCUUGCUCCUUCGACGUUAGCGGCGGACGGGUGAGUAACACGUAGGUAACCUACCUAUAAGACUGGGAUAACUUCGGGAAACCGGAGCUAAUACCGGAUAAUAUUUCGAACCGCAUGGUUCGAUAGUGAAAGAUGGCUUUGCUAUCACUUAUAGAUGGACCUGCGCCGUAUUAGCUAGUUGGUAAGGUAACGGCUUACCAAGGCAACGAUACGUAGCCGACCUGAGAGGGUGAUCGGCCACACUGGAACUGAGACACGGUCCAGACUCCUACGGGAGGCAGCAGUAGGGAAUCUUCCGCAAUGGGCGAAAGCCUGACGGAGCAACGCCGCGUGAGUGGUGAAGGUCUUCGGAUCGUAAAACUCUGUUAUUAGGGAAGAACAAACGUGUAAGUAACUGUGCACGUCUUGACGGUACCUAAUCAGAAAGCCACGGCUAACUACGUG